rnacentral:rRNA from 1 species
UACGUAGGGAGCAAGCGUUGUCCGGAAUCAUUGGGCGUAAAGCGCGCGUAGGUGGCCUCGUAAGUCCGCUGUGAAAGUCAAAGGCUCAACCUUUGAAAGCCGGUGGAUACUGUGAGGCUAGAGUACGGAAGAGGCGAGUGGAAUUCCUGGUGUAGCGGUGAAAUGCGCAGAUAUCAGGAGGAACACCAAUUGCGAAGGCAGCUCGCUGGGACGUGACUGACGCUGAGACGCGAAAGCGUGGGGAGCAAACAGG